rnacentral:misc_RNA from 1 species
UGAAGAACGUAGCGAAAUGCGAUACGUAAUGUGAAUUGCAGAAUUCAGUGAAUCAUCGAAUCUUUGAACGCAUAUUGCGCUCUCUGGUAUUCCGGAGAGCAUGCUUGUUUGAGUAUCAGUAAACACCUCAACUUCCAUAUCUUUUUUGAAAUGGGAGUUGGACUUGAGUGAUCCCAACGCUUUUCCUCACCGAAAAGUGGCGGGUUACUUGAAAUGCAGGUGCAGCUGGACUUUUCUCUGAGCUAUAAGCAUAUCUAUUUAGUCUGCCUAAAAACAGAUUAUUACCUUUGCUGCAGCUAACAUAAAGGAGAUUAGUUCUUGUGCUGACUGAUGCAGGAUUCACAAAGACAGGCUUCGGCCGACUUUGUAAACUCGAUCUCAAAUCAAGUAAGACUACCCGCUGAACUUAAGCAUAUCAAUAAGCGGAGGA